UACGUAGGGUGCGAGCGUUAAUCGGAAUUACUGGGCGUAAAGCGUGCGCAGGCGGUUUUGUAAGACAGGCGUGAAAUCCCCGGGCUUAACCUGGGAAUGGCGCUUGUGACUGCAAAGCUGGAGUGCGGUAGAGGGGGAUGGAAUUCCGCGUGUAGCAGUGAAAUUCGUAGAUAUGCGGAGGAACACCGAUGGCGAAGGCAAUCCCCUGGACCUGUACUGACGCUCAUGCACGAAAGCGUGGGGAGCAAACAGG
rnacentral:rRNA from 1 species